rnacentral:rRNA from 1 species
GAUGAACGCUGGCGGCGUGCUUAACACAUGCAAGUCGAACGGAAAGGCCCCUUUUUGCGGGUGUACUCGAGUCGCAAACGGGUGUGUCACGUGUGUGUGCUCUGCUUAGCACUUCGGUAUCAGCCUGGGAAACUGGCUCUAAUACCGGAUAGGCCGCUGGUUUGGAUGCCAGUUUGGAAAGUUUUUUCGGUGGGGGAUGAGCUCGCGGCCUAUCAGCUUGUUGGUGGGGUAGUGGCUUACCAAGGCGUCGACGGGUAGCCGGCCUGAGAGGGUGUACGGCCACAUUGGGACUGAGAUACGGCCCAGACUCCUACGGGAGGCAGCAGUGGGGAAUAUUGCACAAUGGGCGCAAGCCUGAUGCAGCGACGCCGCGUGGGGGAUGACGGCCUUCGGGUUGUAAACUCCUUUCGCUAGGGACGAAGCGCAAGUGACGGUACCUGGAGAAGAAGCACCGGCUAACUACGUG